rnacentral:rRNA from 1 species
UACGUAGGGGCCUAGCGUUGUCCGGAUUUAUUGGGCGUAAAGAGCUCGUAGGCGGUUCGGUAAGUCAGGUGUGAAAUCUCCACGCUCAACGUGGAGGCGCCACCUGAAACUGCCGUGACUCGAGUCCGGUAGGGGAGUGUGGAAUUCCCGGUGUAGCGGUGAAAUGCGCAGAUAUCGGGAGGAACACCUGAGGCGAAGGCGGGUUGCUGGGCUGAUACUGACGCUGAGGCGCGAAAGCCAGGGGAGCAAACGGG